GGACCUGACUGCUAUCGGAUUGCUACUAAGCCAUGCGAGUCAUUGUAGCAAUACAAGGCAUACGGCUCAGUAACGCGUAGUCAACCUAACCUAUGGACGGGAAUAACCUCAGGAAACUGAGAAUAAUGCCCGAUAGAACAUUAUGCCUGGAAUGGUUUAUGUUCCAAAUGAUUUAUCGCCGUAGGAUGGGACUGCGGCCUAUCAGUUUGUUGGUGAGGUAAUGGCCCACCAAGACUAUUACAGGUACGGGCUCUGAGAGGAGUAGCCCGGAGAUGGGUACUGAGACACGGACCCAGGCCCUAUGGGGCGCAGCAGGCGAGAAAACUUUGCAAUGUGCGAAAGCACGACAAGGUUAAUCCGAGUGGUUUCUGCUAAAGAAACCUUUUGUCAGUCCUAGAAACACUGAUGAAUAAGGGGUGGGCAAGUUCUGGUGU
rnacentral:rRNA from 1 species